UACGGAGGAUGCGAGCGUUAUCCGGAUUUAUUGGGUUUAAAGGGUGCGUAGGCGGACUGUCAAGUCAGCGGUAAAAUUGAGAGGCUCAACCUCUUCCCGCCGUUGAAACUGGUGGUCUUGAGUGGAUGAGAAGUACGCGGAAUGCGUGGUGUAGCGGUGAAAUGCAUAGAUAUCACGCAGAACUCCGAUUGCGAAGGCAGCAUACCGGCGCCCUACUGACGCUGAGGCACGAAAGCGUGGGUAUCGAACAGG
rnacentral:rRNA from 1 species